GGGAAUGGCAUUCACCUGCGGAAAGUGAAAUCAGGCGCGAAUAAGUUAGAAAAUGAGGACGGAACCGAUGGAAAUGAGGGGGAUCGAGUUCACCUGAGGAAAGUGAAAUCAGGCGCGAAUAAGGCAGAAAACGAGGAUGAUGGAAAUGAGGGGGAUCGAGUUCACCUGAGGAAAGUGAAAUCAGGCGCGAAUAAGGCAGAAAACGAGGAUGAUGGAAAAGAGGGGAAUCGCGUUCACCUGAGGAAAGUGAAAUCAGGCGUGAAUAAGUUAGAGAAUGAGGAUGAUGGAAAAGAAGGGAAUCGUGUUCACCUGAGGAAAGUGAAAUCAGGCGCGAAUAAGGCAGAAAACGAGGAUGAUGGAAAUGAGGGGGAUCGAGUUCACCUGAGGAAAGUGAAAUCAGGCGCGAAUAAGGCAGAAAACGAGGAUGAUGGAAAUGAGGGGAAUCGAGUUCACCUGAGGAAAGUGAAAUCAGGUGCGAAUAAGUUAGAAAAUGAGGAUGAUGGAAAAGAGGGGAAUCGCGUUCAGCCAAGGAAAGUGAAAUCAGGCGCGAAUAAGGCGGCAAAUGAGGAUGGAAAUGUGCUAGUGAAAACAAAAUCAGAGA
rnacentral:lncRNA from 1 species